GAUGAAGAACGUAGUGAAAUGCGAUACUUGGUGUGAAUUGCAGAAUCCCGCGAAUCAUCGAGUUUUUGAACGCAAGUUGCGCCCGAAGCCAUUCGGCCGAGGGCACGUCUGCCUGGGUGUCACGCAUCGUUGCCCCCCCCAAACUUCGGUUCGGGCGGGGCAGAAGUUGGCCUCCCGUGCGUGCCUGCGCGUGCGGUUAGCCCAAAAGCGAGUCCUCGGCGACGAGCGCCACGAAAAUCGGUGGUUUUUUUGCCCUCGUUCCUCGUCGUGCGUGCCCCGUCGCCCGAACGCGCUCUUGCGACCUUCACGCGUCGCCUCGGUGGCGCUCCCAACGCGACCCCAGGUCAGGCGGGACUACCCGCUGAGUUUAAGCAUAUCAAUAAGCGGAGGA
rnacentral:misc_RNA from 1 species